rnacentral:lncRNA from 1 species
UUGAUUCCUUUCUUGUCUCUCUUCUUUUCUUUCUUCUUGUUUUUCUUUUUCUGGCUCUGUUUCUUUUUGUUUUCCUUUGUGGGAAGGACUAGCGGUCGAGGUGGCAGUAUCCUUUUUGGAUUUUGUUUUUUGCAGAGUUCCUUUCUUCUUCUGGAUUAUGAUUGGUUUAAGAGAAGCCUUGGAUUUGGACCUCGAGAAGAUGAGAGGUUCCUCGGUGUCUUCUGAGCUUUCUU